rnacentral:rRNA from 1 species
UUCAGGAAACUGGGGCGUAAUACCGGAUAGGAGCUCCUGCUGCAUGGUGGGGGUUGGAAAGUUUCGGCGGUUGGGGAUGGACUCGCGGCUUAUCAGCUUGUUGGUGGGGUAGUGGCUUACCAAGGCUUUGACGGGUAGCCGGCCUGAGAGGGUGACCGGCCACAUUGGGACUGAGAUACGGCCCAG